rnacentral:lncRNA from 1 species
UAUAUAUAUAUAUAUAUAUAUAUAUAUAUAUAGUGAUGGUGUCCGGUAACCAUGUUGGAGUGUUUCGCUUCGUUACCGAACCCAACCGACCCGACCAAAUACGAACACUGCGCGGCGCCCCGAAAGCAAAGUUGUCAGUGGCGUAUGGCUCGUUGCUUCCGCUCAGGGCCUUCCUUUCCCCUGGUGAAGCAUUUGCCUCGCCCUCCCCUGUCGACGCCUUCCUCCUCGUGCAAUCUAGAGAAUGAGCGCGCAGAUUAGAGCGAUGGGGUCUCCGUGCCCUACGGAGCGAGAUAAUGAUGUGAGGUUUUCUUUAUGUGUUCUUUGCCUCCGUGAUUCGUUUUGCCUCCGAAACAGAUUUUAUGCGUCAAAGGACUGCCUUUUCUUUUUCUUUCUUUUCCUUCCACCUAUUUUUAUAUUUCUCAUUCUUGAUAACGUCGAUGGUUGGUAGAUUCUGACUGAAUGCUGAUAAUCAUUCAAAAAACGGAUCUUUGAUUCAAUUUGUCAGUAAUUAAUACAUUGGUCAGAAAAUUGUAGCGCCAGAAGUAGAAAUUGGUGUGAUAUUAGGUCAAGUUAUUCUGGUUUCGUGUUGUUGCUGAAGAAAACAAUGCUAUUAGUUCACGGUACAUUGGGGUAAGGUUAGUUGGACCAUUCUUUUGGGUCAUGGUACAUGGUAAACUUCUUCUGUGGGUUGCUUGUUACAUUACACAAGACAUUAUAGUCAUGCUAGUCAUUAGUCAAUAGUUUUGUGUCCAAUUAGGUUGAAAAUAUUAGUGGUAGGUGUUAGUAAACCUUUACACCGUGGUUGAGGUGUCAGCACGACUUGGUCAUAUCCUGGAUGCGCAAGGUUGUCCACGAGGAUACUCGGGUGAUGGAAGCGAGUGUCGGGUCUGGCUAAGUUUGACACUCGUCUCCGAACGUGGUCCUUCUUAUCGGUGAGUGGUCCGCUCCGACAUCGCCAGGUUCAUGCACACAGGUUGAAGUCGGGAGGGGACUUUCCCGAUUCAACCCCUCCGAAGAUUAAGUAAGUAUUAGUGGAGUCUACGGAAAUCUCCGUCAUGCCGAUCAGGGGAUUGACUUUAUACCUGCAAGUGAGGGUCGGUCGUACGUGAUCUGAUGUUGACGGCCAACUCCUCAGGCGACUGACCUGCAAGGAACGACACCGCGCGACACUGUUCUGAGCUUUCCGGAGCGAUUCUGUACUGUGCGGCGUUGUCUCAUAUGACUCCGGACGGUGCGGGAGGGGGCGACCGCCCAUCCGAGUUCGAGCUGCCACAUUGAUGCGAUGCACCAUCUCUGCGCUGAUUUGUUUGCUGACUGUGGCUAUGGGGGCGAUACUAGAAUAUGCCCUAUCACUCUCUCCCUCGUCCGCGCAUCCGGUCAUCGAGGAGUGUCUUUGGUGGUGGGGGAUCUCGCCAUCUCAUAUGGCGCCCAACUCAUGGCGUUACCUGGUGGUCUUCCUCGGGGAAUGCUGAAGCGUGGGGAUCGACCCGACUCGAACGCUUUUCUUGAUGUGUUUUCACUUGUGCAAGGGUCGAGGCGGGACUACCUGACUGCUCAAAGUGGCUUCAACGUCAGUGGCACUCCUUGUAAUAAUAAGGGGUGGAAGGCUCGUCACUUCUUUGUCAGCUACAGUCGGGGAUGGGGGUUUAACGUUGGGUGGACCUCCCAAGUCAUCAACAAUGUUCCCCCAUUUCUCUCUUUCGAAGAGGCCGGGCGUGUAGGGUGUUUGAGGGAGAUCUUGUCUUCUUCCCAAGCAAUUAGGGGCACAUCCGAGGAGUGGCUGGUCGAAGUGGGACUCAGCCCGGCCCCGAGGGGUACGACUGAACUUGUAGUCUUUUUAAGUUUUCUUUUUUUUGCUCUUCGUAUGUUACUGACCUCGUUGCAACUUGUAGAGAUGGUGAACCUAAAGUCGCUGAAGGGGAUGCUUCGCUCCUCGGUGAUGACGCAACCAUCCCGAGAGGGCAACAAGCGCAACUCCGAAGUUCCUGUGAGAAAGAGCACGUCGGUGCGUCAGACGGGGUCUCUAAAGGAGGCCAAGGUGGGUUGGCCAAAGAAAAAACCCAAGGUCAGGACCCGAAAAGACUCUGAAGGCGGUGACCAAGGAGACUGCGGCUCAUGGAAUGUUCGAGUUGGGUGGCCCCUCGCAAGGCAAGGGCUCGACGAGCGCUCGAGGAAAGGGACAUGUUGUGUCUUCAGGUGACGACCCCUCGAGCAGGAAGACGGCACGACCUAAGUCAUUUCAAGCCCUCAGCAUGGCCGACCUGCCGGAGGGGGAACCAGGGGCGCUCUACAACUCGUGUUGGCUGACCCUUAAGGCAGAGAGUCAGAUGUGGGCUAACGAACCGGUGGCCCAAGAAUUUUCCUGCGAUGCGCUUUAUCCGGUCAUGGCGAAGUAGUUGUACUGCUCGUUGUCCAUGGUGCUGAUGGAUCAGGUGGUGAAGUCUCUCGUAUGGGUAAGUUCGAUACUUUUCCCUCCGACCCGAAGGUUGGUUCUAAUGUGCUUGCUGGCGCAGAACCAACACUAUACCAUGGCCCUGAUCAAGGUUCGCAAUACCGUACCGUACCGGAGUUUCGAUCUGGGCUCGGUACCGGUACGGUACGGUAUACCGCUCGGUACACCCAGGUGUAUCGAGCGGUAUAUUCAGGCGUGCCGAGCACUGUAGCACUGUAGCACUGCUACAUCACUACUACAGUACUGCUACAGUGCUGCUACAGUGUCGGAACGGUAACAUACGGUCCGCGUACCGAAAGUCUGUCGGACCGGUACUGCAAACCAUGGCCCUGAUCGUGUCUAUGAUGUAGGCUGGGUAAUCGAGUGCCUGGGGGAGAUGAACUCCGACCUACAUCGGGAGGUCGAGGAACUGAAGAACAGGUCCGAUCCCGAAGUUGUGGUGGCAGCCGAGCAAUGGGACAUUGACUUAGAAACUGAGGUCGAGAGGCUAAAGUCCGAGCUGGGCGAGUCACAGUGCCAACUGAAGGAGUGUCGAGGGCGGAUUCGGAUGUUGGAUGACGAAUUGCUAACCCUUUCCCGAAAUGUCGAAACUGCCUGAUCUGCAUCACGAGCUGCCGAGGAGGCACUAGAUGAGGAACGUUGGGGGGCGUCGGAGAUGGCAAAGGAGGCGAUCACUGAGUACAAGUGGUCCCCCAGGUUCGAGCUUGGCAUGCAGAGGUUGGGGUUGGUGACAUAUGAAUUCAGGUACCAAGUGGCCCUUGCUCGAUUUCGGGCGAGGUACCCCGACCUCGAGGUAGAGCAAGAUCCCUUCGCCGACCUUCCCGAAGACCAAUAUAUCGAGAUGCCUGACGAGGUGCCUUUCGAUGACAGUCCUAAAGUUCCCCCGAGUUAUGGGGUUGUGUUUGUUUGUUUCUAUUUUUUGGCCUUGGUUGGGUCGAGUUUUGAACUGUAAGGCCUUGACUAAGCACAAUGUAUAUAUCUUUUACUUAAUAACAAGCGUGCUUCCUACAUUAAUUCUCCAAUGUCCUUGUCAAUAUUUUACCUUAAGGGUAAAAUUUUUUCAAAUUUAAGACAUGACACGUCCUCGAUAAGGGGCUUCCCUUUGUGGUCUCGAGUCGGUAAGUGCCGACUUGGACCUCGUCAAUCACCUGAUGUGGUCCUUCUCAGUUUGGCACAAGGUUUCUCCUAGCUCGGGUUGGGUCACUUCGGUCUUCCGUAGGAUGAGGUCUCCAACUUUGAUUUGGUGCGGGCGGACCCUGCAGUUGUAGAGGCGGGCUGUGGCCCUUUUAUACGCUAGGACACGUAGGUGCGCCUCAGCCCUUUGCUUAUCGAGGAGGUCGAGAUUGAUUUUGAGUCCCUCUUUCGAGGUACCCUCUUCAAAAUUCUCAACCCGUAGGGAUAGGAACAUCAUUUCGGGCGGCAGUACCACCUCGGUUCCAUAUGCCAAAUUGAACAGUGAUUCCCUCAAGGUAGUUUUGGGGGUGGUUUAGGACGUUCAUAGAACGCUCGGGAGUUCUUUGACUCAAGCGCCAUGGGCCCCUGUUAUCCUCUUCUUCAGGCCCUCCAAUAUAGCUCGGUUGGUGACUUCGGCCAAGCCAUUGGUUUGGGUGCGCGACCAAGCUAAACUUCAAUCGUAUCCCGUAAGACUAGCAGUAUGCUUUGAAUUUUAUGUUAUUGAAUUGAGCUUCAUUAUCGACGAUGAUGGCCCUCGAGAUCCCGAAUCGGGUGAUGAUAUUCUUCCAAACAAACCCCUCAACCUACCUCUCCAUGAUGGAGGCUAAUGGCUCGGCUUUGACCCAUUUAGUGAAGUAGUCGACUCCAACUAUGAGGAAUCUCUGCUGCCCCGAAGCAGGGGAAAUGGUUAGAGGAGAUCCAGGCCCCAUUGGGCGAAGGGCCAGGCAGAGUCUAUUGGGGCAAGAGGGACCGCGGGCUAGUGCUGUACCCGAGCAUGCUUCUAGCACUAUUAGCAUCGUUGCACGUAUGAUAGGGCAUCUCAACGUAUGGUUGGCCAGUAGUACCCCUAUGUGAGAAUUUUGAAAGCUAAGGUUCGACCACCGAUGUGCUCUCCACAAAUGCCUUCGUGAACUUCUACGAGGAUUGUCUCGGCUUCGAGGGGUGCCAAGCAUCGAAUGAGAGGUUGGGAGAAGGCUCUAUGGUAUAGUUUCCCAUUAGUUUUGCAGUAGCAUGUCUCGAUGCAUCUAAGUCGUCGAGCAGCGGCUCGGUUGAUGGGCAGUGCCCCUUCUCUUUUGUAGCAGGGGAUCUCCUCCAUCCAACUAAGGGUGGCUUCGAUUGUGGCGAUGCCUAUGGUCGAGACGGUCGGGGUUAAGAGGACCUCGGCCUUUGGGGGAGUCCCUUUGAACCAUGGGUGGAGGCCAGUUUGUCCAAUGCGUCGGCCUGCGCAUUCUCGACUAGGGGUAUCCUUGCAAUCGAGAGACGACGGAAAUGAUCGGCUAGUCGCCGCACCUCGGCUAGGUAUCAUGCCAUGGUUGGUUCACGAGCCUUGUAGCUCCCAUUGAUGUGACCCACGACUAAUUGCGAGUAACUGAAGGCCUCCAGGUCUUGCACGUGCAUCUCUAGGGCGAGGCGUAGCCCUGACAACAACACCUCAUACUCGGUCUCGUUGUUGGUGGCCUUGAACUUAAGUCGAAGUGCAUGUUCAUAUGCUUGAUCGUCCGGGCCUCUAAGGACGAGCCCUGCCCCUGCUCCCUCCGAGGUGGCAGAUCUAUCCACGUACAAGGCCCAAGUAUCCCUGGAACGUCCCUGUUCGCCAGGCCACUCGUCGGGUGUUAGCUCGGAAAUGAAAUCGGCCAAUACUUGAGCUUUUAUGGUGGCUUUGGGGGCAUAUUAGAUGUUGAACUCCUCGAGCUCGAUCGACCAUUUUAGCAUCCGACCGGAUACGUCAAAUUUAGAGAGGAUCUGUCAUAAUGGUUGGUCGGUGAUUACCUUUACCAUGUGGGCUUGGAAGUAUGGUCGUAGCUUCCUGGCUGUCUUCACUAGCUCUAUCACCAACUUCUCGAUCGGAGGAUAUCGUUCUUGGGGUCUAGCGAGGAUGUGGCUGAUUUAGUAGACAGGUUGUUGUGUUGCUGAGCUCGCUCAUACCAGCACCAAGGUAAUCGCUUGUUCGAAGGCUGCCAGGAAAAGGUCGAGUGUUUCACCCGGGUCGGGCGAGGCGGGCCAAGGUAGUCUAUAACAUUCCUCGUUUCUAAAUUUUCGUAUAAGUUUCAAACUAUAAUGUAAGUAUCCAUUUUGAAUUCUAUAGAAGAGCCUAAAUAUAAAUCUAAGAACCUAUGUAUAAAAUUUGAGGACCUAUUUGUAAAUUCUAAGGACCUAAUCAUAAAUAUAAAUAAUACAAAGACUAAACUAUAAAAUACAUAAAAAAUAAUAAAUUCCACCACCUAAGCCUCUCUGCCUUCGUUCCUAAGGAACAUGAGAAGGCAACUUGUGUUGGAGAAGAGUGGAAGAGAGAAAGAAGAAAAAAAAAGAAGAAGAGGAGAAAUCUAGGGCUUUGGGCUUUUUGAUCCCAAAUGAGAAGAUUUGAGUAACAAGACCCAAAGCCUCAUUCAAAUUUUACAUUCUUUUGAGUUAGUUUGGUGAGAGGUUGUGCAGUUCGAGAGAAUCCCUCCAUAAAUCUCCUAUAAUAACCCAUCAUGCCCAAGAAGCUUCUAAUUUUUGUCACAUUUGUUGGUAUUUCCCACUUAACUAUAGCUUCCACUUUUUUUGGAUCAAUAGAUAUGCCCUUCCCUGAAAUCACAUGGCCUAAGAAAGCAACUUCAUUCAACCAAAAUUCAUAUUUACUAAACUUUGUAUACAAUCUUUUUUCUUUUAGUAUGGAUAAUAUAUUUCUCUCAAGUGUUUCUCAUGCUCCUGAUCACUCAUUGAAUACACUAAUAUGUCAUCAAUAAAUACAAUUAUACAGUCAUCCAAAAGUGGUUGAAAUAUCCUAUUUAUCAGCUACAGUAAUCUUAAUCUUUAUUUUUAUUUUAAUUAUGAAUAAUUCGAAAGAUUUUAUUUUAGCACAAGAUAUUUCUCUCGUUUAGAUAAAAAACUAUGAAUCUGAAAUUUUUCGAUAAUCUGACCUUUAUGCAUUGUUUUAGACCUAACUUUUAGUACCGAACUCUAAUUUUGGCCAAACCUAAUUUAUUUAAAAGUAGACUCAAAGAUCUUUCUUUUAAUAUCAUAUUGAAAGAUUUGGAAUAUAAAUAUCUACCCAGUUAUUUAUUGAAACUAACUCUAUGAAUUCCAUAAAAUAGAGAUUUUUGAUAUUUGACCUUUGGUUACCAAAUCAUUUGUAACUCUUCUUUAGAAACUUCAAUUUAUAUGAAACUUAUUUUAUCUGAAAGUAGAUUGAAAUAUAUUUCUAAUGAUAUUUUUCUUGAGUAAAUUAGAGCAUAAUUGAUAAUUUAAAUUAUUUGUUCAAUGUUCCUCUCAAAUUAUGUCAGAAUCGCGCUUUGGUUGAUUUCGCCUAUUCUUAUUUCAUUCCUUUCGACAUUGAAUUUAUCUAGCAUUCUUUCUUCAAUUAAGCUAUAUAUGAUUGCUUAGAAUCUUUGUAUGCUCUUGCCUUUAUUUUCUUUCAAAUUUGAAUGCAAUUGCGAAAGAUUAUGUUUGCAUCGUAUUGACUCAUAAAGGCACAUGUACGUUUCGUUGUUUCGCAUCUGCUUCCGAUAUGUGCUAAUUUUAUUUUUUAUAAUUUCUUUUUGUGCUUUGAUGUUUAUGGGAUAAUGUGAACCUUUGCUAAAAAUGAUAUCACUCAGACAUUGGUGGAUGAAGCUCCCAAACGUGGGAGACUUAUGUUUGUUGGUCAUUCAGAAAUGGAUGGAUCAUAUUCUGUUAUGAUCCCACUUUACCUUUUAUAUGUUUGAUAUGAUAUCCAGAGCUUUGGUUAUGUGCUUCUAUACGUAUUUUGGAUAAGAAUGAAAUGAAUGCAAUGUCAAAUAUGACGUUUGAGCUUAUGUUUCAUAUUUAUUCUUUGAUAUGUUCCGAAAUGCUUCUUAUGCCUCUGAGAUAUUCAUACGUCAUUGAUACGCUUUGAAAUAUUCUAUAAGUCAUUAAUAUGCUCCGAAACAUUUCAUACGCCAUUGAUAAGCUCCGAAAUGUUUCAUUUGUUAUUUGAUAUGCUCUGAAAUAUUUCAUACACCCUUGAUAUACAUCAAAAUAUUUCAUAGGCUAUUGAUAUGCUCCAAAACAUUUCACACGCCAUUAAUAUGCUCCGAAAUAUUUCAUAUGUCAUUGAUAUACUCCGAAACAUUUCAUACAUCAUUGAUAUGCUAUAAUUACUCUUUACUCUAUUUGUUAUGAACCAAAUAUGUUUUAAAUGAAAUGUCAUUUAUGAUUCUGUAUCUAAUGAGAUGAUAUCUAUGAAUUCUUGUAUCCUGCCUUACACUUUGAUACUAAGCUAGCUUGAAACUUCUCACUUUGUCAUGGAUAUGUUAGUUGCUUGUUGAGCUUUGUAUACUCGCUCCAUUGCUAUAUAAAUCUUUCAGGUUAGGUUGUCAUUCACUGAGAUGUUUGAAUUGGGCUGAGAUAGUGGAGAGCUAUUUAUAUUUUGGGCAAGCCUUGUCGAUUGAUAUAUUAUUGUUAUUGUAUAAGCAUAUUUUGUAUGUAAUGAAAUAUUGUCGGUAGUGGAUGAUGAACCCGAGAAAUUUGUCGAAGCUGACCUUGAAGGCUCAUUUCGAAGGGUUCAACCGCAUGUUGAAUCACUUGAGGGUCUGGAAAGUCUCGGCAAGAUCGACCAAAUGAAUGCCAACCGUCUUGCUUUUGAUGAUCAUGUUGUCGACGUAAACUUCCAUGUUUUUCCUGAGUUGUUGCUUGAACAUUUCAUUGACCAUUCUCUGGUAUGUCGCUGUGGCAUUUUCUAGACCGAAGGGCACUACCUUGUGACAGUAUACCCCUCGGUCAGUGAUGAAAGUAGUGUGUUCUUGAUCCCGAGGUGCCAUUCGGAUCUGAUUGUAGCCCAAGAAUGCAUCUAUGAACGUAAGGAGAUCAUGCCCCGAAGUGGCAUCCACCAGCUGGUCUAUCAUCGGGAGUGGGUAGCAGUUCUUCGGGCACGCCCGGUUGAGAUCAGUGUAGUCAACGCACAUUCUCCAAUUUCCAUUAUUUUUCUUGAUGAGGACUACAUUAGACUACCACCGAGGGUAUUUCACCUCGAUUAUAAAUCCAGCUUCAAGUAGGCGAUCCACCUCGUUGCUGAUUGCUUUUUGUCAGUCUGGGGCGAACUUCCACGGUCUUUGCUUCACAAGACGUGCCCCAUGGAGAAUGUUGAGAUAGUGUUGUGUGACCUCGGGGUCGAUCCUUGGCAUGCCUUUCGGGGACCAGGCCAAUACAUCAACGUUCUUCAAGAAGUCGACGAGUUGGACCUGGUCUUUUUCUGGAAGUGUUGUCCCGACCUUAACAACCUUGUCAGGUCAUCCUUUUUCCAGGGGGAUCUCUAUCAUCUAUUCGGUCGGCUUUGGGUGAGGCAGUAUUUUAGUUGUAUCUCGGGGGUCCGAGAGGGACAGCUUAGGCCACAGCUUCUUUGGUAGAGUGAUCGCUGUCAGGUAACAUUGCCGGGACUCCCUUGGGUCACUUCUUACUACUCCGACCCUGACUUGGGUAGGGAAUUUCAUGGCUCGAUGGUAGGUAGAGACGACUGCCUUUAACUUGUUGAGGGUUGGUCGGCCGAGGAUGACAUUGUACGCGGAAGGUAGGUCGACCACCAUGAAGAUGAUCAUUAAUGUCUUAGACCUUGGCUCUUCUCCAAGAAUGAUGGGGAGGGAGGUGGUUCCGAGUGGAGAGAUGGAGUCUCCCAUAAAUCCUAUAAGCGUCAAGGCCAUCAGGGCGAGAUCUCCUUCCGUCAGGCCGAGCUUCUUGAAAACGUCGAAGUAUAGCACAUCGGCAGAGUUUUCGGUGUCGAGCAUCACCCUCUUCACUCGGGCAUUAGCGAUGCAGAAUGAGAUUACUAUGAUGUCAUCGUGGUCAGGGAACUCAACCUCUUCGGCCCUGAAGGUAAUCUCAGACCCAGAUCCCGACCUUGGGCAUUUCUCCACCGUGCUGCGGGCGUAGGCCUUCCGUCCCGACGUGCUAUCACCUCCAGAAGCCAGUCUGUCGAUGAUGACAUCAAUUUGCUUUUCGAUAGGGCCACUGGGACGAGGGGAUACUUCUCUUGGUUUUUUGAGAUAGCACCUAAGGUGUCCUCUACGGAUUAGAUCUUCGAUUUGGUUCUGGAGGUCAUGACAUUCUUCCGUGUCAUGGCCGUAUUCUCGAUGAAACCUACAAUAUUUAGAUCGAUUAUUGUGAGUAGCUUUUAUCAGGUUGGGCUCCCUUAGGAGUCCCUUCUCCUUAAUCCAGAGAAAGAUUUCAAUGCGGAAAGUAUUCUGAGGUAGAGGAGGGGACCUCGGGAGUGAUGGCUUGGGUCGAUCAGGCCUCCUCCGAGAUUGUCCCACAGAUAGUCCCGAGGAUGCCCCUCAGGGUUGCUCCGUGCGAGGCCUCUUGUUGUCUUCACGUUUCCUCGCCAUCAGUAUCUUGGCGGCGAUGUACUAGUUGGCGUGCUGGAGCAUCUCGGGAACAGUUGUGGGUGGUCUUUCAACCAGCGAUCAAAAAAACCUUGAGGGCCACAAACCCAUCAGGAACGCCUGCAUGAUCAGGGAAGGAUGAGCAUCCGGGACUCCUCGGAUCUUGGAGGUGAAGCGUGUGACGAAUUGAGAGAGAGAUUUGUCGUCACUUUGGCACAACCCAAGGAGCGUGGCUAUGGAAGGCUUGGCUCGCGAGCUGGCUAGGAAGUUCUGUAGGAAUUCCUUUACGAGUUAAUCAAAAGAUGAGACCGAGGUUGGCUGUAGCCGGUUGAACCACGUCUGAGCCGGUCCUCGGAGGGUGGUGGGAAAAGCCCGACACAUGAGGGCAUCAGAAGUGUCAUAGAGGGCCAUUUGGACCUGGAAUGCGGCGACAUGCUCUGCUAGGUCGGACUCGCCGUCAUACAUCUCUAGAGUAAGGAGGUGGAAGUUGAGGGGUACAAGCUUAUCUUGGAUUUCCUGGGUGAAAGGAGAUCCUCCCGAGUGGCUUUCUGCGGCCUCAUCCCUUGAUCUGUGAAAUUCUUGUUGAAACUCAUCUAGACGUCGAUUCACAAGAGACAACUAAGCCCUGAAAGAGUCGUCGGCCGAGUCCGAUGACAAGGUAUCGAGCCUGGGGAAUGGCAGCAUGGUUAGGCAAGACAUGGGGGUGCUUCGUUCGGGUGCCAUUCUUGGAUCUCCGAUCCGCUCCUCGGUCUCGUCAUGAGGAAUUGGGGCUCAAGGUGAUACGUUGGCUGGAGGAGCGUUGGGGGCCGGCAGUGGGGGAGCCGUCUGUUGGAUGAGCUAUGGGAUGAGCGGGAUGAUUGUCUGCAUCAUUCCUGCUAAGGCUUGAACCCGCUUGGUGAGGGUAAGGAAUGCCUUAAGUGAGAUGACUGGCGGUCCCGAGGCAUUUCCAGGGGGGAGGAGGAAAUUGAGGUCAUUGAAUAGGCGUCAGUAGUGAUCUGGUGUUUGGGUCAUGACGCCCCCAUCUUUGUGCGGGAUAAGGGGUGGUUGCCCCCCGAGCCCAUAGGCGGGGUGGACUGCUAGCUGCUCUUCACUAGAACGAGCUUCAGGAUUGACCGUGAUCGGACACUCCUGUGACAUCGGGCCCUCCUUCUAGUGUCAAAAUGUUAGUGAACCUUUACGCCGUGACCGAGGUGUCAGCAUAGCUUGGUUGCGUCCCAAAUGUGCAAGGUUGUCCACAAGGAUGCUCGGGUGAUGGAAGCGAGCAUCGAGUUGGGCUGAGUUUGACACUCGUCUUCGAACUUGAUCCUUCUUAUCGGUGAGCGGUCCGCUCCGACGACGUCGGGUUCCUGCACGCAGGUUGAAGUCAGGAGGGGGCUUUUUCGAUUCGACCCCUCUGAAGAUUAAGUAAGUAUUGAGUGGAGUCUAGGGAAAUCUCCCCCAUGCCGAUCAGGGGAUCGGCUUUAUACCUGCGAGCAAGGGUCGAUCGUAUGCGAUCUGAUGAUGGCGGCCGACUCCUCGGGCAGUCGGCUUAUACCUCUGUGUGUGUGCCGACCAACCUGCACGGAACGACGCUGCAUGGCGCCGUUCCGAGCUUUCCAAAGCGACUCUGUACUGUGCAGCGCUGUCUUGUACGACUCCGGAUGGCACGGGAAGCGGCACCCACUCACCUGAGUUCGAGGUGCCAUGUCGACGCGACGCACCAUCUCAGCCUCGAGGCUCCAUCUCUACGCUGAUUUGUUUGCUGACUAUGGUCACAAGGGGCGAUACCAGAAUAUGCCAUAUCAGUAGGCAACCUAAUAACUUUUAACUCGAUUAUGCUUUUUAAUUGUUUAGUUCUUUGCUGAUUUAAGCUUUAUGUGAAUGAACUUUUCAUUAGGACUGUACCCCUUCCAUGACUAAAAUUUGAAUUAUAUUUGUUAUAUUGAAGUGUCAAAUAUGGUGAUCAGAUCACAUAUCACUGUGUUAUGGGGCCACAAUUUGCAACAUCAGCUUAUUUGGAUAGAAGACGUUUAGUAUUGUGUAAGACAGGUGGUAGCCAUUUUCUCGGACCUAUAGUUUGAAAUUAGUCAUAAUUGACUGGCACUGAUCAAACCCAAUCUUAGUUGGCCAAUUUCGACCAAUUUUGAGUGAUCUCAUGGCCUCAAAAGAAAAAAAAUGAAGAGGGGCAGGAAGGAAGGCAAGGAAUAAGAGGAAGUCAAGGUGGAAGAAACAUGUAACUAUAAAUGUGGAAUACUGGAGACAUUGCUACCAUUUCAUUUGUUCUUCAUCGCAACUAUUGUAUUUCUUGUCUAUCACCAUUACAAUAUUCUCUUUAUCCACCACCAAUAAAAUAGAGGGGAUGGGUACAAGCGAGGAGAGAGGCAAAGAGGAUCCCUUAAAUAGAUAUGCUAUAAUAGAUAAGAGGGGUAUCAUGAGAUUUGCAAUUAAAUAUUAAAUUUUAUUGGCACUCUCAUCAAAUACAUUUUUUUCUUUCGUUGCUUUUGCAUUGUCUAACACCGCCAAUUUGGUGAUUAAAUAAUCUAAAAAGGACAGUCGAGUACAAAAGGCUCCUGCCAUUGUGAGAUCUGAGAAGGAUCAAUAUAUGCAGUUUUACCCAUAUAGUUAGCCCUCCUUUUGAUUAGAGAAGUUCUUACCCAAUAAUUCUACUGCUGGCCAGUGCCAUUAUCUCUUUUAUUAUGCAUAAUUGCACCAAAUAACUUGGUCGACCUUCUUAGGACUCCUUGAACUGUCACCAGCUUGCGUUCCUAUAGCUUCUAUUAUUUCUCGAUGGAACUAGUAAAUUUAAUUCCUUUCAAGUGUUAUGUUGGUGUUUAUGUUGUAAAUCACAUAAUAUUUUCAAAUGAAUGCUUCCCAAUUGCAGGUUUCAGCAUGCAUGUAUUGUAAACUGAUCUCCCUCGACUAUAGAUUUGGAAAUAACCCAUGUCACGAAUCAUACACGACAGUGACUUGAAGAGACUAGAUCAGAGACACAAACUGUGGUCUACUGAAAUGCUGUUGGACUACUAUAUUCAUGAGCUUAGCAUACAAAUUGAAGUCCUGUUUCUUGUCAGAUACAAAAUUUGCAAAUAGAUUUAAAUGUAUGGUUUGAAACUAACUUUUAGAAGUGGACACUAUAUUCUUUGAAGUGGUACAUGAAGCUGGUUCAUCUUUUAAGGUCCAUGAUAGGUGUGACAGUUCUUUGCAUAGUGAAUUCACUGAAUUCUUAUUUCUGUACUUUCUUCAAGACUAUCAGGUUAUUGAGGACCGAAUAAUCUUUAGUUACAAGUACUUUGUCUAGUUAAAUUCAUAGUUUUGGAUUAAUGGAUUAUAGUUUUCUAUAUUCUGCAUAUUGGAUGCAUCAAAAAACAGUAUGAUAACAUUCAACAUUAUAAUACAAAGCAAAUAGGCCAGUUGAAAUCCAAAGCUCAUUGUGGCAGGUUGCUGCAACUUUAAGCUAGUCAAUCUUGUUUUUUUCCCCGAAAUGUUGACACAAAAAAUGCACAAGCAUUGAGGAUGCAACUUCUCUCGUGGUUGCUGAUUUCCUUUUUUUCUUCAAGCCAACGCCAGAGUUUGCUUCUUCUUGUUGCUUCAUAUUGGUUUAUUUCCAUUGUCCUCCCCACGGCAAUCUACUAGCGAAGCAUGUGUAUUUGUCGAAUCAUAUUGGCAGCUUCAUAGUAGAUAAGUUUGUGGUCUAAAUUAUCUUUAUUCCAUUUAGAUUGUAGGCUUUUCAUGGAGGGAUUGUGUAAUUAAUUUAGCUUGAUGUUUUACAUAAUUACAAACAGCAUAUGUUAGCUAUGUUUUCAAUGAUACCUGAUCCAUAAUCAGGUGAAUGAUCCAUGUUUGUAGUACAGAACGGUAAGUGUACAUUGGAGACCAACUCAAAUUUUCUUGUGCCACAGGAUUGCUCUCUAUAUUUGCUGAAGCAGGAAGAUACCAUUUGCUGGUGCUUAUCAACCCCAUCUUGCAGCAGGUUUUGCGAGGGAGAAUUGAUUGCUUACCAGAUUUUGGUUAGCGUGGAGAGAUUAUGUACACCUUAUAAGGCAGAUUCAAGUUUUGGCAUUCUAAUUUUGCUGAAACUGGACUUGUGGAAACACUAGCAGGCCAUUCUUUUGUCAAUGCCUAUCUGCACAGUAAUCUCUCAAGUAUUUCUGAUCUUCAGAGUGCAGGAGGAUCAUUUGGUUUUGGCAUGGCAGUCUUUUGGUAGGUCCAUUAAGCACAAUAUGUUUCAAUUCUUGAAAGUUCACAUAUCUGUUUUGAUUUAUGCAGCAAUGCUUUGGUUUUUUAUUGUUGGAAUCAAGAACAAGUGUUUAUUUCAUAUGAGAAUACCUUUGGUUGUAGGAACAAUUGAUAUGACACUCUUUUUCAGAAGUACCAUUAUUACCAGGUCCAUUUGUG